GAUGUGGAGAUACAGGCAACUAGAGCACACAAGCUCAGCGUACUUACAGCCCAGCAGGGUCUCGCAACAACCACGACGAUCAUCCCUGCAGAGACGACCAGGAGGCGAAAGAUUCCCUAUGCAGCUUUCAGACCUUUUCUGGAGAAUGUGACGGGCAUAGAGGAGUAUUUAGCAGGCUUCGAUCGGCAAUGUGCGCUUCACCAGAUCCCCAGCAAAGAUUGGCCCACCAUACUGUCCGGAAAGCUAUCCGGGUGAGCACUGGAUGCAUUUCGGACACUAACCCCAGAGGAAAGUGACCCAGUAUGUGCGGGUUAAGGACACUUUGCUAUGGCGAUACGCUGUAACUCCACACACGUAUCGCAGGCAAUUUCAAAACACCAAGAAAAAGCUGAACGACACUCACAGCGAAUGGGCACAUAGG